rnacentral:rRNA from 1 species
ACGAACGCUGGCGGCGUGCCUAAUACAUGCAAGUCGAGCGGAAUGAUGAAGAAGCUUGCUUCUUCUGAUUUUAGCGGCGGACGGGUGAGUAACACGUGGGCAACCUACCUUGUAGAUUGGGAUAACUCCGGGAAACCGGGGCUAAUACCGAAUAAUCCACUUUGCUUCAUGGCGAGAUGUUGAAAGACGGUUUCGGCUGUCACUAUAAGAUGGGCCCGCGGCGCAUUAGCUAGUUGGUAGGGUAAUGGCCUACCAAGGCGACGAUGCGUAGCCGACCUGAGAGGGUGAUCGGCCACACUGGGACUGAGACACGGCCCAGACUCCUACGGGAGGCAGCAGUAGGGAAUCUUCCACAAUGGACGAAAGUCUGAUGGAGCAACGCCGCGUGAGUGAAGAAGGUUUUCGGAUCGUAAAACUCUGUUGUAAGGGAAGAACACGUACGAGAGUAACUGCUCGUACCUUGACGGUACCUUAUUAGAAAGCCACGGCUAACUACGUG